UGAGGAAUUUUGCGCAAUAGUUGGAAACCCUGACGCAGCAACGCCGCGUGAGUGAAGAAGGCCCUUGGGUCGUAAAGCUCUGUCAAGUGGGAAAAAAGCUUACUGGUAAAUAGCCAGCAAGACUGAUGGUACCAUUGAAGGAAGCACCGGCUAACUCCGUGCCAGCAGCCGCGGUAAUACGGAGGGUGCAAGCGUUGUUCGGAAUUACUGGGCGUAAAGGGCGUGUAGGCGGUGUGGUAAGUCAGAUGUGAAAGCCCUGGGCUUAACCCAGGAAGUGCAUUUGAAACUGCCAUGCUUGUGUAUGGGAGAGGAGAGUGGAAUUCCCAGUGUAGAGGUGAAAUUCGUAGAUAUUGGGGGGAACACCCGUGGCGAAGGCGACUCUCUGGACCAAUACUGACGCUGAGGCGCGAAAGCGUGGGGAGCAAACAGGAUUAGAUACCCUGGUAGUCCACGCUGUAAACGAUGAGCACUAGGUGUAGCGGGUAUUGACCCCUGCUGUGCCGUAGCUAACGCAUUAAGUGCUCCGCCUGGGGAGUACGGCCGCAAGGCUA
rnacentral:rRNA from 1 species